rnacentral:lncRNA from 1 species
CAUGAUAAUGGGUUAGGUAAAUGUUCCAUGAUGGGAAUUUCAUGUCUUUUGUAUUAAAGAAUUAAAUGGAUGAAAUAUGAAAUUUUAUUAAAAAAAGGGGUGAAAAGAACAAAGUUUUGUCCAUCUUUGUUCAUCAUAGCCUAAAGUUAGAGAAGAGAAAGGAGAGGAGAAAGCUCUUGAAUGUACGGUCACUUGGGGAAGAAAAUUGAAGGUAAGUUCAUGGUAGUUUGCUUUUAUUUUGAUGUUCAUGGGUUCUUCUUGAUUCUACCUUAACUCUUGAAGCAUAUUUUGGUUUUUGGUUGUGUUGUGAGCAUUUGGUCAUGAAUUAAAAUGAAGGAAAUGGUUUUUGUUUCAUGUUCUUUUGAUGAAAAAUGGAAGAUAGGUGAAGUUGAGCCAAACAAAUGAGCAUGCAUGUGCCUUAAAUGCUAAAGGAAAAAAAUCGGGUAACAUGUUGUGCUUUAAAAUGAUGAAAUGAAGAUUAUACUUAAGUAAACUCAUAGAUAUGUGAUGAUUGAUUGGUGAUAUACAUGUUUAAAUAACAUGCAUGCAAGUUAUGUGUGAAAGAGUGAAUUUGGUAAUAAAUCUGCUUGGGACAGCAGCAGUAACGUGAUUUUGGAAAAUCACCAUAAAUUGUGGGAGAUGAAUUAGAAGCUGAAUAAAUUAUGUAAUUAAAGCUUGUUGAGUCUAGUUUCAAAUCACCAACCGGUGCUAUUAGAGGAGCUUUUGUAUUUUCCAAGAUCGACCUUCGAUCUGGAUAUCAUCAGUUAAGGGUCAAGGAGGCAAAUAUCCAUAAGACAGCAUUCAGGACUUGGUAUGGUCAUUACGAGUUUCUGGUUAUGCCAUUUGGACUGACGAACUCUCCUACAGCAUUUAUGGAUCUGAUGAAUCGUGUGUUCCAACCAUUUUUAGAUCAGUUCGUAGUCGUCUUUAUUAACGAUAUCCUGGUAUAUUCUGAAACUGAAGCGAAACAUGAUGAGCAUCUCCGUAUAGUGCUGCGAGUGUUAAGGGAGAAUGAACUCUUUGUGAAGUUCAGCAAGUGUGAAUUUUUGUUGAGUGAGGUAACCUUCUUAGGACAUGUGGUCUCUGCCGAAGGGAUUAAGGUGGACCCUCGAAAGAUUGAAGAAAUUUUGGAGUGGAAGCCACCUAGGACGGUGUCAGAAAUUUGAAGUUUCCUAGGGUUGGCAGGAUACUACAGAAGGUUUGUGGAAGGUUUUCCUUUGAUGGCAGCACCUCUGACAAAACUCAUAAGGAAAGGAGUACCGUUUGUAUGGACUGAGAAGCAGCAGGAAGCUUUUGAGAAGUUGAAGAAAGUUCUGACUGAAGCAUCUGUGUUGAUUCAGCCAGAGUUUGGGAAGGAUUUUACUGUGUACAGUGACGCAUCACAUGUAGGCUUGGGCUGCAUGUUAAUGCAGGAGGGUAAGGUGGUUGCAUAUGCAUCACGACAGCUUAAACCUCACGAAGGGAACUAUCUUACCUAUGAUUUGGAGUUGGCGGCAGUGAUAUUUGCACUUAAGAUUUGGAGACAUUACUUGUACGGGGAGAGGUGUAUUAUAUACACAGACCACAAGGGUCUUAAGUACUUGUUGACUCAGAAGGAGUUGAACCUUAGGCAAAGGAGAUGGAUUGAGUUGCUUAAGGAUUAUGACUAUUCGAUCGAGUAUCACCAGGCAAGGCUAAUGUGGUAGUCGAUGCUCUAAGUCGUAGAACUGUAUCUGAUCUUAGAGCAAUGUUUGCUCGUCUGAGUCUGUAUGAUGAUAGAAGUCUGUUGGCUGAGUUGUAAGUGAGGCCAACCUGGGUGGAUCAGAUUAAGGAAAAGCAGUUGAACGAUGAGUCUUUGGUCGCUCGUUUUCAACAAGUUAAGGAAGGGGAAACUUCUAAGUUUGGGUUAAAUGGCAAAAGAGUUCUGUGUUUCCGAGGAAGAAUUUGUGUUCCGAAGGACUCUGAUUUGAGGCAGACAAUAUUGAAGGAAGCUCAUGGAGGACUUUGUGCUAUGCACCCUGGAGGGAACAAGUUGUAUCACGACUUACGAGAAUUGUACUGGUGGCCUAGACUUUAAACGAGAAGUAACGGAGUUUGUAGGGAAAUGUCUGACAUGCCAGCAAGUGAAAGCUGAGCAUCAAUUACCCUCUGGACUGUUACAGUCAGUGAAGAUACCAUUUUGGAAGUGGGAGAGGGUAACCAUGGACUUUGUGAGUGGGCUGCCCUUGACACCAUCAAAGAAAGACUCGGUGUGAGUGAUUGUGGAUAGGUUGACCAAAUCGGCCCAUUUCAUACCUGUUCGUACUGACUUUUCACUUCAAAAUUUAGCCAAGUUGUAUGUGGCGGAGAUUGUGCGACUUCAUGGGGUCCCAGUUUCAAUUAUUUCUGAUCGGGAUCCCAGAUUUACAUCUAGGUUUUGGCAAAAGUUGCAUGAGGCAUUGGGGACGCGAUUGAAUUUUAGUACGGCUUUCCAUCCCCAGACUGAUGGUCAAUCGGAAAGGGUUAUUUAGAUUCUGGAGGACAUGUUGAGGGGAUGUGUGAUUGAUUUUCGAGGUAGUUGGGAGGAUUACUUGCCGUUGGCAGAAUUUGCAUACAAUAACAGUUACUAGGCGAGUAUUCGAAUGGCACUGUAUGAAGCACUGUAUGGACGAAGGUGUCGUACACCUAGUUGUUGGACCGAACUAGGAGAGCGACAAGUUCUUGGACCAGAGUUGGUAGCUGAUACUGAGGAUAAGGUUAGAAUAAUUAGGGACUGGUUAAAAGAAGCAUCUGAUAGGAAAAAGUCGUAUGCAGAUUUGAAGCAUAAGGAGAUUGAGUACUCAGUAGGUGAUAUGGUCUUCUUAAAGGUUUCUCCUUGGAAGAAGAUAUUAAGGUUCGGUAAGAAGGGCAAGUUGAGUCCGCGGUUUAUUGGGCCUUAUCGGGUUUUGAAGCGAGUAGGCCCAGUGGCUUAUCAAUUGGAAUUGCCUCCAGAUUUAGACAAGAUUCACGAUGUUUUUCACGUCUCCAUGUUAAGGCGUUAUCGUUCUGACCCUACUCAUGUCGUGCCAGUUGCAAAAAUUGAAGUUCAGACUGAUUUGACCUUUGAGGAGGAGCCUGUGCAAAUAUUGGCUCGAGAUGUUAAGGUUCUCAGAAGGAAAUCUGUCCCGUUAGUGAAAGUGCUUUGGCGUAAUCGUGGCAGAGAGGAAGCCACUUGGGAGCCAGAAGAGGCGAUCCAACAGCAAUACCCUCAUCUGUUUGGAUCUGGUAAAUUUCGAGGACGAAAUUUCUUUAAGGAGGGUAGAGUUGUAAUGCCCCAAUUUUCGGGAAUUCUGUGAAUGUUGGCAUAGGUUUAAUUAUGUUAGUGGCCUCUAGAAGGCCUAAGCUUAAGAUAGAACCCGACAAUUUUAGUUAAUUUUUGUUCCAUAAGAAAAAGGGGGUGAAAUUAUGAAAUAGAACCUAUGUGAAAAUGUUUGAAAAUACUAUAGGCUAAACUGAAGUGGCCAAAUAAAUAGGAGUGCAAAAUAGGAGGAUUUGCAUGACAAACCUCCCAUUUUACAUGAAGUGGCCAGCCAUCAUGUUGUUGUAGACAAAAUGUGCACUUGAUAUCCAUAAUUUAUGGUACAAUUUGAUACAAAUUGAUAAUGGGUUAGGUAAAUGUUCCAUGAUAAUGGGUUAGGUAAAUGUUUCAUGAUAAUGGGUUAGGUAAAUGUUCCAUAAUAAUGGGUUAGGUAAAUGUUCCAUGAUGGGAAUUUCAUGUCUUUUGUAUUAAAGAAUUAAAUGGAUAAAAUAUGAAAUUUUAUUAAAAAAAAAGGGGUGAAAAGAACAAAGUUUUGUCCAUCUUUGUUCAUCAUAACCUAAAGUUAGAGAAGAGAAAGGAGAGGAGAAAGCUCUUGAAUGUUCGGUCACUUGGGGAAGAA